rnacentral:rRNA from 1 species
AUUGAACGCUGGCGGCAGGCCUAACACAUGCAAGUCGAACGGAACCUUCGGGUUUAGUGGCGAACGGGUGAGUAAUGCCUAGGAAUCUGCCUAUUAGUGGGGGAUAACGAAUCGAAAGGUUCGCUAAUACCGCAUACGUCCUACGGGAGAAAGAGGGGGAUCUUCGGACCUCUUGCUAAUAGAUGAGCCUAGGUCGGAUUAGCUAGUUGGUGAGGUAAAGGCUCACCAAGGCGACGAUCUGUAGCUGGUCUGAGAGGAUGGCCAGCCACACUGGAACUGAGACACGGUCCAGACUCCUACGGGAGGCAGCAGUGGGGAAUAUUGGACAAUGGGCGCAAGCCUGAUCCAGCCAUGCCGCGUGUGUGAAGAAGGCCCUCGGGUUGUAAAGCACUUUAAGCGAGGAGGAAGGUCAUCAUACUAAUAUUAUGAUGAAUUGACGUUACUCGCAGAAUAAGCACGGCUAACUCUGUGCCAGCAGC